AUUGAACGCUAGCGGGAUGCUUUACACAUGCAAGUCGAACGGCAGCGCGGACUUCGGUCUGGCGGCGAGUGGCGAACGGGUGAGUAAUGUAUCGGAACGUGCCCAGUAGCGGGGGAUAACUACGCGAAAGCGUAGCUAAUACCGCAUACGCCCUACGGGGGAAAGCAGGGGAUCGUAAGACCUUGCACCAUUGGAGCGGCCGAUAUCGGAUUAGCUAGUUGGUGAGGUAACGGCUCACCAAGGCGACGAUCCGUAGCUGGUUUGAGAGGACGACCAGCCACACUGGGACUGAGACACGGCCCAGACUCCUACGGGAGGCAGCAGUGGGGAAUUUUGGACAAUGGGGGCAACCCUGAUCCAGCCAUCCCGCGUGUGCGAUGAAGGCCUUCGGGUUGUAAAGCACUUUUGGCAGGAAAGAAACGUCGCGGGCUAAUACCCCGUGGAACUGACGGUACCUGCAGAAUAAGCACCGGCUAACUACGUG
rnacentral:rRNA from 1 species